AUUAUUCUCCUUGGGUGAAGAUAAAGAGGGAUUUGAUGUAAAAUACAUCAAUUCAUUUAAAGGUCGGGGUGUGUUCAGCUGCCAGUGCUUUCAAAAAGGAGAUUUCCUUAUUGAGUGCAGAGGGGAAGUCAUAAGUAGGAAGGAACAAGAAAACCGAUUGAAAAUUUACCAUGAUGCACUCCAGGCUUUUAUGUUUGAUUUCAAGUUCAAUGGACAACAGCUUUGUGUUGAUGCUGCCAGAGAACAUGGAUCAUUGGGGAGGCUGGUAAAUGAUGAAGAGAUGAACACAAACAACAAAAUGAAAGUUACAAGGGUGGAUGGAAGACGUCAUCUCUGUUUGUUUGCACUCAAAGAUAUUGGUCCAGGGGAAGAAAUGACUUAUAAUUGUAGUGAUUCUGACUGGCUAUGGAGAAGAAGGGUACGAGUAAGUGUGAAAAUACUAUCACAAGUCAUUCUACUAGCAUUGAAAAUAUUUUUGAAGGAAAUGUCAAGUUGUAGUACAGAGUUUCAUUAUAGUUGAAAACAAGAAGUGAUUAGCAGAGUGCCUAAAAACCAGAUUUUGGAGAAAGACUUAACCAGACCACCAUUUCAACUUGUUCAGCGCUAUCCAAAAUGCUAGAAACUGUCAUAUGUAAAUUAGUAUAUUUUGACCUUAUAUUAAUGAACAUUUUAUAGCAGGAGACAUAUUUUGCAGUGUCAAUACAUAAAAUGUCUGUUUAACAAUCAGCUGGACAGGUUCAUUAAAUAGGUGGAUU